rnacentral:rRNA from 1 species
AGGGUUUGAUCAUGGCUCAGGAUGAACGCUAGCGGCAGGCUUAACACAUGCAAGUCGAGGGGUAUAGUUCUUCGGAGCUAGAGACCGGCGCACGGGUGCGUAACGCGUAUGCAAUCUACCUUUUACAGAGGGAUAGCCCAGAGAAAUUUGGAUUAAUACCUCAUAGUAUGUGAGAAUCGCAUGGUUUUCACAUUAAAGUCACAACGGUAAAAGAUGAGCAUGCGUCCCAUUAGCUUGUUGGUAAGGUAACGGCUUACCAAGGCAACGAUGGGUAGGGGUCCUGAGAGGGAGAUCCCCCACACUGGUACUGAGACACGGACCAGACUCCUACGGGAGGCAGCAGUGAGGAAUAUUGGACAAUGGGCGCAAGCCUGAUCCAGCCAUGCCGCGUGCAGGAUGACGGUCCUAUGGAUUGUAAACUGCUUUUGUACAGGAAGAAACACUCCCUCGUGAGGGAGCUUGACGGUACUGUAAGAAUAAGGAUCGGCUAACUCCGUGCCAGCAGCCGCGGUAAUACGGAGGAUCCAAGCGUUAUCCGGAAUCAUUGGGUUUAAAGGGUCCGUAGGCGGUUUAAUAAGUCAGUGGUGAAAGCCCAUCGCUCAACGGUGGAACGGCCAUUGAUACUGUUAAACUUGAAUUAUUAGGAAGUAACUAGAAUAUGUAGUGUAGCGGUGAAAUGCUUAGAGAUUACAUGGAAUACCAAUUGCGAAGGCAGGUUACUACUAAUGGAUUGACGCUGAUGGACGAAAGCGUGGGUAGCGAACAGGAUUAGAUACCCUGGUAGUCCACGCCGUAAACGAUGGAUACUAGCUGUUGGGAGCAAUCUCAGUGGCUAAGCGAAAGUGAUAAGUAUCCCACCUGGGGAGUACGUUCGCAAGAAUGAAACUCAAAGGAAUUGACGGGGGCCCGCACAAGCGGUGGAUUAUGUGGAUUAAUUCGAUGCAACGCGAAAAACCUUACCUGGCCUUGACAUGUACCGAAUUUAGCAGAGAUGCUUUAGUGCUCGUAAGAGAACGGUAACACAGGUGCUGCAUGGCUGUCGUCAGCUCGUGUCGUGAGAUGUUGGGUUAAGUCCCGCAACGAGCGCAACCCUUGCCAUUAAUUGCCAUCAUUUAGUUGGGCACUUUAAUGGGACUGCCGGUGACAAACCGGAGGAAGGUGGGGAUGACGUCAAGUCCUCAUGGCCCUUAUGGCCAGGGCUUCACACGUAAUACAAUGGUCGGUACAGAGGGCUGCUAACCCGCGAGGGGGUGCCAAUCUCAGAAAACCGAUCGUAGUCCGGAUUGUUGUCUGCAACUCGACAGCAUGAAGUCGGAAUCGCUAGUAAUCGCGGAUCAGAAUGUCGCGGUGAAUACGUUCCCGGGCCUUGUACACACCGCCCGUCACACCAUGGGAGUGGGUUUUACCAGAAGU